rnacentral:tRNA from 1 species
GGGUUGGUGGCGUAGUUGGUUAGCGCGUAGGUCUCAUAACCAUAUUAUUAAUCCUGAGGUAGAGAGUUCGAGCUUCUCUCGCCCCA